GCUUUUUAAUUGAAAGCUAGUAUGAAUGGUCAGAUGAAAAAUUUUCUUUCUUUAUUUUAAUUAUUAGAAUUUUAUUUUUUAGUCAAAAAGCUAAAAUUAUUUUAUUAGACGAGAAGACCCUAUAGAACUUUAUUUUAUUUUUGAUUUUUAGUUUUUUGGUUUUUAUAAUUAAUUAUUAAAAUAAUAAAUUUGGUUGGGGUGACAUUUAAAUUUUUUUAACUUUAUUUAAAUUAUUUUUCAUUAAUUAAUGUUUUUUUGAUCCAUUUUUAUUGAUUAAAAGACUAAGUUACCUUAGGGAUAACAGCGUAAUUUUAUUGGAGAGUUCAUAUUAAUAAUAAAGUUUGCGACCUCGAUGUUGGAUUAA
rnacentral:rRNA from 1 species